AACGAACGCUGGCGGCAGGCCUAACACAUGCAAGUCGAACGCCUCAGCAAUGAGGAGUGGCAGACGGGUGAGUAACACGUGGGAACGUACCCUUCGGUUCGGAAUAACUCAGGGAAACUUGAGCUAAUACCGGAUACGUCCGAGAGGAGAAAGAUUUAUCGCCGAAGGAUCGGCCCGCGUCUGAUUAGCUUGUUGGUGAGGUAACGGCUCACCAAGGCGACGAUCAGUAGCUGGUCUGAGAGGAUGAUCAGCCACAUUGGGACUGAGACACGGCCCAAACUCCUACGGGAGGCAGCAGUGGGGAAUAUUGGACAAUGGGCGCAAGCCUGAUCCAGCCAUGCCGCGUGAGUGAUGAAGGCCUUAGGGUUGUAAAGCUCUUUUACCUGGGAAGAUAAUGACGGUACCAGGAGAAUAAGCCCCGGCUAACUUCGUG
rnacentral:rRNA from 1 species